GCCCUGCUGGCGCAAUGGUAGCGCGUUAGACUUCUAUUUACACGCUUUAGGCGUCCCCAAACUACUCAAUGAGUGGGUGGGAUCUAAAGGUUGUGGGUUCGAGUCCCACGUAGGGUG
rfam:Cyphellophora europaea CBS 101466 unplaced genomic scaffold supercont1.10, whole genome shotgun sequence.